GUCAAUAAAUGUUCAUAAAGCUUUUCAAAAAAGAAGAAGAAAAAGUUCAGAAAAUUCAAAAGAGAAAAGCUAAUUAGCAAUCCACAAUCGCAAAACAUUUAAAAAACCUGCAGACUUGACAAUCGCCUGGGCUUUGUCUGCUUCGCUAACGGCGGAUUCACAAGGCUAACUUCGGUGCUUCGUGUGCUUCGCCUAAUCUCGGAUUCGCAAGUUCGAUGCCUGGGCUUCGUCUGUCUCGCAUAAUCACCGAACAAGUGGAAAACUAAACAAUUAAAUAAGGAGUCAAGUCCUCAUCCCCGUCAUGGGAUUGAAGACACUUUUCACUGAUUAUGAGGAAUCAGGAUCUUUGGUGUCUAAAGUGCAAGCGUUCUACAUGUUUUUUUUUUUUUUUUUUUUUUUUGUUCUUUAGACUCGGUUUAUAAUAAUUAUUUUAUAUAAUGUUGCCUAAAAAUUAUCCGGAAGCACAAAAGAAAAAAAAAUUGAGCAUUUAGUAGACUCUCAAAGAAGAGCUAUGGAAUUUUUUAAAUAUUAGUAUGUUUGUACUCAUAUAUUGAAUUAAAAAUUUAGGUUAACUUU